rnacentral:rRNA from 1 species
AGAGUUUGAUCAUGGCUCAGAACGAACGCUGGCGGCGUGGAUAAGACAUGCAAGUCGAACGCUGAUCACAGGGUAGCAAUAUUCUGUGGUCGGAGUGGCGCAAGGGUGCGUAACACGUGGGUAAUCUGCCAUAAAGUUUGGGAUAACUCGCUGAAAGGCGAGCUAAUACCGGAUGUGAUCAUCGGAAGGCAUUUUCUGAUGAUUAAAGCUGGGGACCGUAAGGCCUGGCGCUUUUUGAUGAACCCGCGGCCUAUCAGCUAGUUGGUGAGGUAACGGCCCACCAAGGCUAAGACGGGUAGCUGGUCUGAGAGGACGACCAGCCACACUGGAACUGAGACACGGUCCAGACACCUACGGGUGGCAGCAGUCGAGAAUUUUUCACAAUGGGCGCAAGCCUGAUGGAGCGACGCCGCGUGGGGGAUGAAUGGCUUCGGCCCGUAAACCCCUGUCAUUUGCGAACAAACCUUGCUAUUUAAAAGAUGGUAAGCUGAUUGUAGCGAAAGAGGAAGGGACGGCUAACUCUGUGCCAGCAGCCGCGGUAAUACAGAGGUCCCAAGCGUUGUUCGGAUUCACUGGGCGUAAAGGGUGCGUAGGUGGCGGGGUAAGUCUGAUGUGAAAUCUCCAAGCUUAACUUGGAAAUGGCAUUGGAAACUACUCUGCUCGAGGGUUGGAGGGGGGACUGGAAUACUUGGUGUAGCAGUGAAAUGCGUAGAUAUCAAGUGGAACACCAGUGGCGAAGGCGAGUCCCUGGACAACUCCUGACACUGAGGCACGAAAGCUAGGGGAGCAAACAGGAUUAGAUACCCUAGUAGUCC